rnacentral:rRNA from 1 species
GUAACGUGGCUACCGGCAUGCAAGUCAAACGGUCCCGCUUUUGCGGGAUAGUGGCGGACGGCUUAGUAACACGUAGGUACAUACCCCAAAGUCGGGCAUAACUCCGCGAAAGCGGAGCUAAUUCCCGAUGGCUCCUGCAAAGGUAAAGAUGCAAAUCGCUUUGGGAAUGGCCUGCGGCCUAUCAGCUUGUUGGUGAGGUAAUAGCUCACCAAGGCUAUGACGGGUAGGGGGUGUGAGAGCACGACC